GUAGGUGUGUCCUCUUCCACUUAACCUCUCUCUCCCCCUCUCAUUCUUACUGAAUAUGUAUCUGUAUGUGUGUAACAUCCUCCCUGUGCCUGUGUGUCUCUACAGUAGUAUGUUUGUACAUGUGUGUGUCCUGAUUAGAUAAAAGGAGGCUUUACAACCAGUCUCUGCCUCUGUCAAAACAAGAGGAAGCAUAAACCUCAGAUGUACCUGCACACACACACACACACACACAGACACACACACAGACACACACACACACACACACACACACACACACACACACACGCAAACACACGCACACACCUAAGUUCACUACACAGUUUAUAAACUGUAUUUGUAACUUUUGUUUUGAAUCUGAAAAUUGAGUCAACACUACAGACAAAUCCGAGUUGUAGGCGGAAGUAGUAUGUAAUACAACACCUUUUUUGUACUUUUUAAGCCCUUUUCCCAUGAUAUCUGUCCAAGUGAUCUGCAAGAACCUGUUAUAUGUUGAAAAUAUAGUAGCAAAUGCCGUUAAAAGUACUGUGUCUGACAAACUGAGCUGAAAUAUACUGUGAGAACUGAUGACUGUUACUGUAAAGCAACAAUAAACUACAACACUGACUGAAACACUGAAUUGAAAUGGGGAUUUUUUUUUCCUUCUACUUUGAACCAAGAGAAACGGAAGCCUGAUUCUUAUGAACACAUUAAUGCUGUUAUUAAAAGAUAUGUUUGUAUUGUCUGUGUAUCUAAAGCCUGAUAUGUCUUAUUUCUCCUAUUAAAAACAGAUCAAUGAAUCACACUGUC